rnacentral:rRNA from 1 species
CCUACGGGAGGCAGCAGUGGGGAAUAUUGCACAAUGGGGGAAACCCUGAUGCAGCGACGCCGCGUGCGUGAGGACGUAUUUCGGUAUGUAAAGCUCUAUCAGCAGGGAAGAAAAUGACGGUACGUGACGAAGAAGCCCCGGCUAACUACGUGCCAGAAGCCGCGGUAAUACGUAGGGGGCAAGCGUUAUCCGGAUUUACCGGGUGUAAAGGGAGGGUAGACGGUUGAUCAAGUCAGAAGUGAAAACCCAGGGCUCAACCUUGGGACUGCUUUUGAAACUGAGUACGUAGAGUGCAGGGGAGUUAAGCGGAAUUCCUAGUGUAGCGGUGAAAUGCGUCGAUAUUAGGAGGAACACCAGUGGCGAAGGCUGCUUACUGGACUGUCACUGACGUUGAGGCUCGAACGCGUGGGGAGCAAACAGGAUUAGAUACCCUUGUAGUC